AGCUCUGUAGUGAUUCCACAUCAAAAUGCAAUUUUGAAGAAGCACCCUAAAAGUGCCGGGGCUU
rnacentral:tRNA from 1 species